AUUUAAGGACCAGGCCUAAUUUUGAAAAGGAGGUCAUUAAGGUACCAGAUCCAGGAACAGACUAUAAGUCCCAGAAACUAGGCCAAAAGGCACCAGAUUCAGGAACAGACCAUAAAAUCCAGGGACAAGGAACCCUCCCAAAGAACAGCCUGGGGAUGACCACAAAAAUGGGGAAAUAUCUCAGAAUGGGCCAUCUGUACUGGGCAGCCCAUCUCAUCCCAUGGUUAAAACGUUCAUGACAUAGGAAAGCAGACCACUGACCACCUGUGACCCCCUAGAGUCCGCCACUUGGUUUCUUAUAAGAAGGCCUAUACGCCUUCAGCUUUGCCAUUUUGGAGAAUGGUUGACCUCCGCUGGUUGUUUCUGCAGAAUAAACACUCUUUGUUUUUGCGUGCCUACUCUCUGAGUCUGGGGUUUUCCCUCAGUGAUUUUCAGACACUUACACUUCAAUUAAACAUCAAUGACUCAAUUAUUUCCCCUUGAGUUCCUGUUUCAACUUUAUAUUGCCUCUCAAUUAUUAGUGCUAAUCGGUCCACUUCCACACUAAAAGUUCCAUUUCUCUGUGAUUUUGUAGGACUUGAUUUGAACUCCCUAUAGAGCUUUCAAGUAGCAUGCGCUAUGAUCUGCAUUCUACUGUACAUGUUGUCUCCUGUUUGCUUUGAACAGUGCACUACACAUGGCACUGAAGAAACACCCUUCUUUUUUUCUUAUGCCACAAAAUAAAAUAAACAAGAAUCUGCAGGCACUCGUCUUCUCUGUGAGCUUCACCUACUCCCAAGAUACAUGUAUCUCCCAAGCUUGCUGUCCAGCAAAGACCUCCAGCUAAGCACUUUAGCCAGAUUUGUUUAAAAUAUCAAGGCUUACCCCAGUGACAUAUGUUCUCCAGCAAGGCUAUACCUCCAAAACAUACCCAGACAGCACCACCAGCUGGGUGGACCAAGUAGUGAAAAGCCCAAGACUAUGGGGGACAUUUAUUAUUCAAACCACUGCACUCCAGAACCAGCUUUCUGGCUUGGUAGCUUUACUUCAUUAACAUACCAAUAGAACACCAGAGUCCAAUCAAGGUAAAUGACCCUCAAAUACUCAACUCCAUUGGAGUCAACGUGUUAAGUGCCCCAAACAAAACUUAGCCCCCAUGUAGGUACAUUUAAUAAUCUCAUUGACCAAAAAUGUUUUUAUCAAAAAAGGGUAUUCUCUUCAUUGCUGCAUACAGAUUUCAGUGUUUACUAAAGCUCUAUGGGGAUGUGAUCUGUGCACCUGACUAUGAUGAUGCUGGUAAGACAAGACAGCUAGAGGGAGCCAGCAAGGACUCUUCAAGGAGCCAUGGUGUCCCAAGGCAGAUGCUACUUUAAUACAAGACCAAGAGACAUUCUUUAAAAAAAAAAAAAAAAAAGGAAGAAAGAAAGAUGCUAUGUAAGCAGUAAAGUGUAGAAACAAACUGAUAUUUUUCUGGAUGUCAGAAGUAAGGACACUUUCACAGAGAAACGUUUAUUUGUAUGGGAUAGAGAUGACACUUCCACUGUAAAAGGCAGAUCAUGGGAGGAAGGGAAAACUGCUAGAGGGACAUACUGAAUUCAGAGACAUGUAUUUGGGGAGGGGCAAAGUUCAAGUUCUUUAAAGACAAACUCCUCUAUGUUCUGUCAGGUGCUCCCUCCUUUGGGCUCACCUGUUAGCCGCAAUUGCAAGUGACCUCUGUCCCCAGAGCUCAGACAGUGCCUGUCCCCUGUUCACUUCUCCCUGGUACACCUGCCCACUGUCAUCUCUGCAAAAUGAUGUCCUUUGCUUGUUUCUUAAGACAGUAGCUCUAGUGUGCUCCUGUGUGCCCCUCCAUUCCUCACUAUCUCCCUCCCGCUCUAUCUCAGUCCCUCUUUCUUC
ensembl:lncRNA